ACCAGACUCCUACGGGAGGCAGCAGUGGGGAAUAUUGGACAAUGGGGGGAACCCUGAUCCAGCGACGCCGCGUGAGUGAAGAAGUAUUUCGGUAUGUAAAGCUCUAUCAGCAGGGAAGAAAGAAAUGACGGUACCUGACUAAGAAGCCCCGGCUAACUACGUGCCAGCAGCCGCGGUAAUACGUAGGGGGCAAGCGUUAUCCGGAUUUACUGGGUGUAAAGGGAGCGUAGACGGCGAUGCAAGUCUGAAGUGAAAGGCCGGGGCCCAACCCCCGGACUGCUUUGGAAACUGUAUGGCUGGAGUGCAGGAGAGGUAAGUGGAAUUCCUAGUGUAGCGGUGAAAUGCGUAGAUAUUAGGAGGAACACCAGUGGCGAAGGCGGCCUGCUGGACCGUAACUGGCGUUGAGGCUCGAAAGCGUGGGGAGCAAACAGGAUUAGAUACCCCUGUAA
rnacentral:rRNA from 1 species